rnacentral:lncRNA from 10 species
GCUGGAUCUUCGGAACGAGUCCGUGAAGGAUCGGGCGCGGGCGCGGGCGCGGGGCCGGAGGUGGGGACGAGGGGAGUUGGGAAGGGGCUGGGGGUGUGGGGGUUGGGGGUGUGGGGGUCUGGCGGGACUUAUCUGGGGGAGGCUAAAGUGGGUGCUGGAGGCGGGACCCGAGUCCCGGGAGAGGCGGGCGGGGAGUCGCCGCUAGAGCGGGGCCCUUUUGGGGGCUGGAGACCCGGAAGCUUAGAGGGCCCCCUGGCCCCGGAGAGGGGGAGGGCGCAGGGCAGGAAUGGAGGCGAGGCCUGGCCUCAGGAGCCGGGGGCGGCGGGUUCAGGGCGCGAUCCUCUCUGGGGGAAUCCGCGGGUGGCCCGGGAGAGGCCGGGAGGGGGCGCAGAGGGCGGCGCCGGGGCCACGUGGAGUCUGCGCGCCCCACCCGCUUUGGGCCGCGCUCCACCCGCUUUGGGCCGCGCCCCACUAUCCCUGAGCGCCGCACUGUUGGCCCCGCCACACGUCUGUCCUGAGAACCCGCAGGUCCCAGGCUGUGCGGCACCCCGCCGAGCCCUGGAGCAAGUCCUUCCCUGCGUGGGUCUUGUUUCCGCUUCUGUGAAAUGACGAUGGCCCUUCUUGUUUUGCAGGGCCCUGGGAGAGUGGGUUGAGAGAAUGGAAGUGAAGAGGAAGGCUUCACCAUCACCUUAACUAACAUGUGUUUCCUACCGUUAAAUAAACAUUAUAGGAGGCCACUGUUUUGGACUAAGUUUCUGCACCAGGCCCCAGCCGACCAGACUAAAAAUCAAAAGAGUCACCCAUGCUAAAGUUCCACAUUACCAAAUGGAAACUGAGUUGCCAUCUAACCUGGGGAGAAAUCAAGAGACAACAGCCAAUUUCCCAAACAGGCCGGUUUAAAUCCUCAAUCAACAUCACAUUUCCCUGCUUUAAUCCUACGCAAAAAAAGGCGGCUUGAAAGAACCUGAUAGUAACCACUUGGUUAUUAUUCUAUUGGUCUGUCCUGCCUUACAAGAAAAGUAAAAGUAACUUUGAAAAAUAACUAUAUACUCUUUUUUUUUUUUUUGAGAUAGAGUCUCGCUCUGUCGCCCAGACUGGAGUGCAGUGGUGCAAUCUCGGCUCACUGCAACCUCUGCUUCCCGGGUUCAAGCGAUUCUCCUGCCUCAGCCUCCCAAGUAAGUGGGAUCACAGGCGCACACCACCAUGCCCAGCUAAUUUUUUUUUUUUUUUUAAGUAGAGACAGGGUUUCACCAUUUUGGCCAGGCUGGUCUCGAACUCCUGAGCUCAAGUGGUCCACCGGCUUAGAACUCACAAGGUGCUAAGAUUACGGGCAUAACCCACUGUGUCUGGCCUUUUUUAAAAAUUUUUCUUUUUUCUAAGGUACAGGGUCUAGCUUUGUCACCCAGGCUGGAGUGCAGUGGCAUAGUGGCAUAAACCCAGCUCACUGAAGCUUUGACUUCCUGGGCUCAAGCGAUCCUCCUGCCUCAGCCUCCUGAGUACCUGGGACCACAGGUGGACACCUCCACGCUCUGCUUAUUUUUAAUUUUUUUUUUUUUAUUUGAGAUGGAGUCUUGCGCCAUCUCGGCUCACUGCAACGUCCGCCUCCUGGGUUCAAGCAAUUCUCCUGUCUCAGCCUCCCGAGUAGUUGGGAUUACAGGCAUAUGCCACCACGCCUGGCUAAUUUUUUUGUAUUUUUAAUAGAGACAGGGUUUUGCCAUGUUGGCCAGGCUGGUCUCGAACUCCUGACCUCAAGUGAUCGCCUGCCUUGGCCUCCCAAAGUGCUAGGAUUACAAGUGUGAGCCACUGCACCUGGCCUUUUUUUUUUUUGAGAUGGAGUCUCACUCUGUUGCCUAGGCUGGAGUUGGAGUGCAGUGGUGCUACCUAGCUCACUGCAACCUCUUGUCUCCCAGGUUCAAGCGAUUCUUGUGCCUCAUCCUCCUGAGUAGCUGGGAUAACAGGCGUGCACCACAUGCCCUGCUAAUUUUUGUAUUUUUAGUAGAGACACAGUCUCUUCAUGUUGGCCAGGCUGGUCUCGAACUCCUGACCUCAAGUGAUCCACCUGCCUCAGCCUCCCAAAGUGCUGGGAUUACAAGCGUGAGCCACUGCACCUGGCCGUUAAAAAAAAAAAAAAAAUUCCACCACACCCGGAUAAUUUUUGAUUUUUUUUUUUUUGAGACAGAGUCUCGCUCUGUCCCCAGGCUGGAGUGCAGUGGUGCCAUCUUGGCUCCCUGCAAGUUCCACCUCCCGGGUUCACGCCAUUCUCCUGCCUCCGUCUCCCGAGUAGCUGGGACUACAGGUGCCUGCCACCACACCCAGCUAAUUUUUUGUAUUUUUAGUAGGGAUGGGGUUUCACCAUGUUAGCCAGGGUGGUCUUGAUCUCCUGACCUCAUGAUCCACCCACCUCGGCCUCCCAAAGUGCUGGGAUUACAGGUGUGAGCCACCAUGCCUGGCCUAAUUUUUGAAUUUUUGGUAAAGACAGGGUUUCACCAUCUUGGCCAGGCUGGUCUGGAACUCCUCACCUCAGGUGGUCCGCUCACCUCGGCCUCCAGGGAACCACCUCACCUGGCCCAUUUUUUAAAUUUUUGUAGAGACGGGGUAUCACCAUGUUGGCCAGGCUGGCCUGAAACUCCUGGCCCAAGGGAUCCUCCCAUCCCAGCCUCCUGAAUCACUGGGAUUACAGGUGUGAUCCAGGGCUCUGGGCCUAAUAUACUCUUUAUUCUUUGCCAAUGCUUUCUUUAACCCUUCUGUGUCUAUAAAGCCAAGCUCUUCUGCUCAGAUCAUUGACAUACUUAUUCUAUUUUAUAGAAUGAGGUGCUGCCCAAUUGUGGAAUCGCAAAUAAAGCCAACUGAUAUUUUUAUACUAAAUUUCUCAUAAUUUUGUCUUGGCCGGGUGCGGUGGCUCACGCCUGUAAUCCCAACACUUUGGGAGGCGGAUCACCUGAGGUCAGGAGUUCAAGACCAGCUUGGCCAACAUGGUGAAACACCCACUCUGCUAGGUCAUGUGCUGAGGAAUACAGUGAACAAGUUACAGUUCCUACACAAAUAAGCUUGCAGGCUGGUUGAAAGACUGAACAAUUAACAAUAUGAAUCGUUAUUCAAUUAAAAUUGUGAUAUGUGGCUGGGCACGGUGGCUCAUGCCUGUAAUCCCAGCACUCUGGGAGGCAGAGGCGGGCAAAUCACAAGGUCAGGAGCUUGAGACCAGCCUGGCCAACAUGGCGAAACCCCGUCUCUACUAAAAAAAUACAAAAAAUUAGCUGGGCAUAGUGGUGGGUGCCUGUAAUCCCAGCUACUCGGGAGGCUGAGGCAGGAGAAUCGCUUGAACCUGGGGGGCGGAGGUUGCAGUGAGCUGAGUUCGUGCCACUGCAUUCCAGCCUGGGUGACAGAGUGAGACUCUGUCUAAAAAAAAAUUAUCAUAUGCACCUUAGUGGAGAAGUACAGGGAACUACAGGAGCAGUGUUUUCUGAGCAGCCAGUGCUUAUUAUUAUGUGCCAGGUUCUAUGCUAAACCAUUUAAGAUUUGGCUGUGGUCUCCAGUCCACCUAAGAUCUAGAUCAGACUUAUUUCAAACAUUGUAUCAACCAGGAUUCUAGCAGUUGCAAGUAACAGAAACAUAACACAGGCCUGUUGUAGUAAAUUUCCCUGUAAUUCCAGGCUUUGGGAGGCCUACAGGGAUAGCUUGAGCCCAGGAGUUUAAGAAGCAGCCUGGGCAACAUAGCGAGACCCCUCAUCUCUGCCAAAAAAAAAAAAAAGCCAGGGUGAGGGGUGACAUUACAUGCCUGUAGUCCCAGCUACUGGGAGGCUGAGGUGAGAGGAUUGGAGCAGGGAGGGGAAGAUUUACUGACAAACUCUGGAAGUAUGUUUUUGUUUGUUUGUUUGUUUGUUUGUUUGAGACAGAGCCUCACUCUGUCACCCAGGCUGGAGUGCGGUGGCCCGAUCUCGGCUCACUGCAAGCUCUGUCUCCCGGGUUCACACCAUUCUCCUGCCUCAGCCUCCCGAGUAGCUGGGACUACAGGUGCCUGCCACCAUGCCUGGCUAAUGUUUUGUAUUUUUAGUAGAGACGGGGUUUCACCAUGUUAGCCAGGGGUCUCGAUCUCCUGACCUCGUGAUCCACCCAUCUCGGCCUCCCAAAGUGCUGGGAUUACAGACAUGAGCCACCGUGCCUGGCCGGAAGUAUGUUUUGAAGUAUGUUAAGUAUGGCUGGAUCCCAGGGGCUCAAGAGAAGGUUUCACAGCUCCAUGUCUCUCGUUAUCCCUCAAUUCUCUCUUACAGGCAGCCAAGCAAGAUGGCUACUAGCCGUUCUAGGGCCAGGUGCAGUGGUUCACACCUGUAAAUCCUAGCACUUUGGGAGGCUAAGGGGGGGGGGGAUCACUUGAGGCUGAGAGUUUGAAAUCAGCCUGGGCAACAUAGCAAGACCCCAUUUCUACAAAAGAUAAUAAGAAAAAAAUUAGUUGAGCAUGAUGGUUUGCACUUGUAGUUCCAGCUGCUCAGGAGAUUAAGGUGAGAGGAUCCCUCCUUGAGCCCAGGAAUUCAAGGCUACAGUGAGCUAUGAUUGUGCCACUGCACUCUACCCUGGGCAAUAGAGUGAGACCCUGUCUCAAAAAAAAAAAAAAAAAGAAAGAAAGAAAGAAAAGAAAACAGAAAGAUGACUGUGGCUACAAGCAGUUUUAGGCUUUCAUUGACUUUAUAGCUCUGGGUCCCUGAAGAGAGAGUGUACUUCCCAACGGCUCCAGCAUUAAAAAAGCAGUCUUGGGGACUAUGUCUCCUAAAUUCCUUGAAGCUGUCCUGAGCCCUUGCACAGCUAAACCCAAGUCCUGAGCCCUGUGCAGGCCAUGGCACAGCAGCAGUGCAGGCUACACGUUAAAUUCUGGGGAAUGGGAGUGCUUAUCGUGGUGGAGGCUUGGAGAUGCCUCAUAAAGGCAAAGGCCGCAGGGAGAUAAGCAGAUCACAUGGUAGAGAGAAGGCAGAAGGAAAUAGUGGCUGUUUCUCAGGCCAGGCUCUGUCGGUGGGAUAGGCCAUCCCAAGUGGGCAGACGAGUGCUGCAGAGGCAAAUGGAGAGAGGCUGGAGCUGGCAAAAUAGUCUAAGCAGCCUCCAGAGAUGCCCCAGGCUGGAGAAACCUCUGUAAGCCCCAUUGGGAGUCAGAGCCCAGACUCAAGUCCCUCUAGGCCUGCUCUAGGGUAUGGUCUGAUAAGGGGGUCUCAGGCCAUCCAAAAUAUAAUAAGAGGUCUUCCCAUGUGCACAACUGUUUACAAUUUUCAAAGCUCUUACCCUUACCCUCUAUGACUCUGAGGUACACAUUAUUCGGGCCAUUUUACAGGUGGGAGUAUUGAGGCUAAGAAUAUCAGGCUAACCUGCCUAAAGUGAGCCAUUCGGCAGAGACAAAACUCAGCAUCCGGGUCACUCCCAGGGCUCUAGCCCAUCCCCACUCCUUCCAUCUCCCCACUGACCUUUCCCUAACCUAAACUCUCCUGGAGCCUUGAAACCUCCCGAUCCCCAUCCAUGGUAAUCCAGGAGCUGUUAAUUUUUUUUUUUUUUUUUUUGAGACAGAGUCUCAUUGCUGGAGUGCAGUGGCACGACCUUGGCUCACUGCAACCUCCGCCUCCUGGGUUCAAGCGAUUCUCUUGCCUUAGCCUCCUGAGUAGUUGGGAUUACAGGC